rnacentral:rRNA from 1 species
GAUGAACGCUGGCGGCGUGCCUAAUACAUGCAAGUCGAGCGAACGGACGAGAAGCUUGCUUCUCUGAUGUUAGCGGCGGACGGGUGAGUAACACGUGGAUAACCUACCUAUAAGACUGGGAUAACUUCGGGAAACCGGAGCUAAUACCGGAUAAUAUUUUGAACCGCAUGGUUCAAAAGUGAAAGACGGUCUUGCUGUCACUUAUAGAUGGAUCCGCGCUGCAUUAGCUAGUUGGUAAGGUAACGGCUUACCAAGGCAACGAUGCAUAGCCGACCUGAGAGGAUGAUCGGCCACACUGGAACUGAGACACGGUCCAGACUCCUACGGGAGGCAGCAGUAGGGAAUCUUCCACAAUGGGCGAAAGCCUGACGGAGCAACGCCGCGUGAGUGAUGGAGGUCUUCGGAUCGUAAAACUCUGUUAUUAGGUAAGAACAUAUGUGUAAGUACCUGUGCACAUCUUGACGGUACCUAAUCAGAAAGCCACGGCUAACUACGUG